rnacentral:rRNA from 1 species
AGUGAACGCUGGCGGUAGGCCUAACACAUGCCAGUCGAACGGCAGCACAGUAAGAGCUUGCUCUUACGGGUGGCGAGUGGCGGACGGGUGAGGAAUACAUCGGAAUCUACUUUUUCGUGGGGGAUAACGUAGGGAAGCUUACGCUAAUACCGCAUACGACCUACGGGUGAAAGCAGGGGAUCUUCGGACCUUGCGCGAUUGAAUGAGCCGAUGUCGGAUUAGCUAGUUGGCGGGGUAAAGGCCCACCAAGGCGACGAUCCGUAGCUGGUCUGAGAGGAUGAUCAGCCACACUGGAACUGAGACACGGUCCAGACUCCUACGGGAGGCAGCAGUGGGGAAUAUUGGACAAUGGGCGAAAGCCUGAUCCAGCCAUACCGCGUGGGUGAAGAAGGCCUUCGGGUUGUAAAGCCCUUUUGUUGGGAAAGAAAAGCAGCAGGUUAAUACCCCGCUGUUCUGACGGUACCCAAAGAAUAAGCACCGGCUAACUUCGUG